rnacentral:lncRNA from 1 species
GCCAGGCCCUGUGCCAAGAGCUGAGGAUGCCUCAGAGGUGACCACAGCUGGACAGUCCCUGUCCUCAAGGAGUUUGUGGAGGGGGGACACGGGCGCAAAAGAACCGGCGAUUCGAACAACCAAGUCUUAAGAGGCAAAAGGAGGAGAAGGAGGGAGUUCGGAAGGAAGUCUUCACUCCAAGAUACUUUGCACAGCCCCUUUCUCACUUGAUUUCGACAGAUCGCGCUGAGUCUGCGGAAAGUUCCUGGGGCGGAGACGGCUCGAGCUCUUCUCCACGUCCCAGGGACGGCACGGCCUCUGGCAGCGGGAAGCAACCCCCAGCUCUGCAGUCUCUGUCCGGAACGUGCCCGGGUUCCUCGGAGCCCCGGGGAGGCGGGAGCGCGCAGGAGAGGCCAGCACGCGCGCGCUCCCCUCCAAGGGCUCUGGGACAAGCGGCCGCCAGGGACCGCCCCAAAAGCCCCGGCCCCCGGCCGCCGCCGCAAUUCUGCUCAGCUCCUCCUCCAGCCUCCCCCGCACCCUGCGGGUGAGCAAGAGGCCAGCAAGGGAAGGGAGAAACUGGGGCGUCUCAGGUUCCCCUCGCAGCCUGUCAUGCGCUCGCCGCCUACCCCUGGGCAGAUCGCUUCGCCUGUCGGGGGUCUUCGCACCGAGAAGGUUGACCUAAAAUGUGUCCUCCAAGAUCCUUUCCAGCUGUAGUCUACACAUGGGAAAGUCUAGCCAUUGGGUUUGGAUGGAGGAGCCGGCACUCAGGGUACCUGCUUUGCAGUGUACUGAGUGUGGACUCCUUAACAAGAGGCUUCCCCAUCCUGCCUCUGUUUCGUUGUCUUUAAAGUGGGGGUAAUAACGCUUAAACGGUAAACAGCGGUUGAUGAUUAAGUACCUAGGAACUAAAGUUUUUUUCCUUUUUUGCAAUUACUGAUUAUAGCCUUUAGCCAUUGUUAACUGUGCUGCUUAGGCACUAUGCUAUCUGACUCCCACUAGGCUCCUAUAGAUAACAUCUCCCUGGAGCCUGAG